UACGUAGGGGGCAAGCGUUGUCCGGAUUUAUUCGGCGUAAAGAGCGUGUAGGCGGCCAGACAGGUCCGUUGUGAAAACUCGAGGCUCAACCUCGAGACGCCGAUGGAAACCGUUUGGCUAGAGUCCGGAAGAGGAGAGUGGAAUUCCCGGUGUAGCGGUGAAAUGCGCAGAUAUCGGGAAGAACACCCGUGGCUAAGGCGGCUCUCUAGUACGGUACUGACGCUGAGACGCGAAAGCGUGGGGAGCGAACAGG
rnacentral:rRNA from 1 species